rnacentral:rRNA from 1 species
CCGUGGUGGCUCACCACUGUCUACGGGCCGACUUGCGACGCUGCAAAGAUCCAGUUCCUGGACGAGCUAGCUAGGCUGCGUGCUGCGACGCAAGGUCCGUGGCUGCUCAUCAGAGACUUCAACCUCAUUUAUGAGGCAAGGGAUGGGAGCAGCCCUAACCUCAACCAUGGACUCAUGGCAAGGUUUCGUGACGCCCUGAACGCAAGUUAGCUCAAAGAGCUAAAGUUGUCCGGACCCCGCUUUACUUGGUCGAACGAACAAGCUAGGCUGGUGUUGGUCCGACUGGAUCGCGCCUUCUGCGACAAUGAUUGGGACCUCGCCUUUCAGGGUGCACGGCUGCAGCCGCUCGCCACUGCUAUGUCGGAUCACUGUCCUCUGCUGCUCACUUGUGAGCCACCGGUCAGACGGCCGCCUGGGUUUCAUUUUGAGGCCUUCAGGCCGCACAUGCAUGGGUUCAGCGAGGUGGUGGCCACGGCCUGGAACGAACCAUGCCUGUCCAUGGAUGCUUUUGGACGGUUUGCCCUCAAGCUGCGGAGAACAUUCAUUGCACUAAAGAAGUGGCACCGCUCCCACAUUGGUGAUACGCGAUGCAUCUUCUAA